UGGAUGAUGUGGAAGAAUUUGAGCAAUAUGACUCGGGUACUUUGGAGUCAAGCUCAUCUUCAACUUCAACCUAUAAUGUUGAUGCUAUAAUUGAUGUCUAAUAUCCAUUUGCUCAUUGGGUUCAUCAACCAAAUGCAUGGAAUUAGAAUUGGAAUUGGAAUUGGAAUUUGUGAAAGUUGAAUUGGAUGUGAUUUAUGAAGAUGAAGUUUGAUAUCUUAGAAAUGUUUUAAUUUUAUUUCAUGGGUUUGUAUUGAAUGAAGUUUGACAACAAUUUUUUUUUUUUAAUUGCGUUUUGGUUUUGGAUGAAUGUAAGUUAAUGAAUUAUUAUUU